rnacentral:rRNA from 1 species
GCCAGCAGCCGCGGUAACACCGGCGGCCCGAGUGGUGAUCGUGAUUAUUGGGUCUAAAGGGUCCGUAGCCGGUUUGGUCAGUCCUCCGGGAAAUCUGAUAGCUCAACUAUUAGGCUUUCGGGGGAUACUGCCAGACUUGGAACCGGGAGAGGUAAGAGGUACUACAGGGGUAGGAGUGGAAUCUUGUAAUCCCUGUGGGACCACCUGUGGCGAAGGCGUCUUACCAGAACGGGUUCGACGGUGAGGGACGAAAGCUGGGGGCACGAACCGGAUUAGAUACCCGGGUAGUCCCAGCCGUAAACGAUGCUCGCUAGGUGUCAGGCAUGGCGCGACCGUGUCUGGUGCCGCAGGGAAGCCGUGAAGCGAGCCACCUGGGAAGUACGGCCGCAAGGCUGAAACUUAAAGGAAUUGGCGGGGGAGCACAACAACGGGUGGAGCCCUGCGGUUUAAUUGGACUCAACGCCGGACAACUCACCGGGGGCGACAGCAAUAUGUAGGCCAAGCUGAAGACUUUGCCUGAAUCGCUGAGGAGUGGUGCAUGG